GAACAAAGCUUAGAACUCAAAAAUAUCAAAGAUAAUGUGUAAAGAGUCGAGCAUAGGGUUUUAAAACAAUAGGAAACGAGCCGGGUCGGAUCUGGAGUGAAUCGGGUCAAUUCUGGGCCAAAAGUACGUCUCGGGAAGGGAUCGAUCGAUCCGGUGGGUGGAUCGAUCGAUCCCGAGUCACUGGAAACUGCUUCUCGUCCGUCAGAGGAUGGGAUCGAUCGAUCCACAAGUGGAUCGAUCGAUCUGAAUCUUCUGGUCUCCAACUCCGCAACUGCUUCAAAUGCUCGGUAGAAUGACC
rnacentral:lncRNA from 1 species